GAUGAAGAACGUAGCGAAAUGCGAUAAGUAAUGUGAAUUGCAGAAUUCAGUGAAUCAUCGAAUCUUUGAACGCACAUUGCGCCCCCUGGUAUUCCGGGGGGCAUGCCUGUUCGAGCGUCAUUUCACCACUCAAGCCUCGCUUGGUGUUGGGCAACGCGGUCCGCCGCGUGCCUCAAAUCGACCGGCUGGGUCUUCUGUCCCCUAAGCGUUGUGGAAACUAUUCGCUAAAGGGUGUUCGGGAGGCUACGCCGUAAAACAACCCCAUUUCUAAGGUUGACCUCGGAUCAGGUAGGGAUACCCGCUGAACUUAAGCAUAUCAAUAAGCGGAGGA
rnacentral:misc_RNA from 1 species